rnacentral:rRNA from 1 species
GAUGAACGCUAGCUACAGGCUUAACACAUGCAAGUCGAGGGGAAACGAUAGAGAAAGCUUGCUUUUUCUAGGCGUCGACCGGCGCACGGGUGAGUAACGCGUAUCCAACCUGCCCAUCACUUGGGGAUAACCUUGCGAAAGUAAGACUAAUACCCAAUGAUAUCUCAAGAAGACAUCUGAAUGAGAUUAAAGAUUUAUCGGUGAUGGAUGGGGAUGCGUCUGAUUAGCUUGUUGGCGGGGUAACGGCCCACCAAGGCGACGAUCAGUAGGGGUUCUGAGAGGAAGGUCCCCCACAUUGGAACUGAGACACGGUCCAAACUCCUACGGGAGGCAGCAGUGAGGAAUAUUGGUCAAUGGGCGAGAGCCUGAACCAGCCAAGUAGCGUGCAGGAUGACGGCCCUAUGGGUUGUAAACUGCUUUUGUAAGGGAAUAAAGUGAGCCUCGUGAGGCUUUUUGCAUGUACCUUAUGAAUAGGGACCGGCUAAUUCCGUGCCAGCCGCCGCCGUAA